rnacentral:rRNA from 1 species
UACGGGGGGUGCGAGCGUUGUCCGGAAUCACUGGGCGUAAAGGGCGCGUAGGCGGUGGGAUAAGCGUGUGGUGAAAGCCCGGGGCUCAACCCCGGGUCUGCCGUGCGAACUGUUUCACUCGAGCACUGUAGAGGCAGGUGGAAUUCCGGGUGUAGCGGUGGAAUGCGUAGAGAUCCGGAAGAACAUCGGUGGCGAAGGCGGCCUGCUGGGCAGUGUCUGACGCUGAGGCGCGACAGCGUGGGGAGCAAACAGG